rnacentral:rRNA from 1 species
GGCAGGCCUAACACAUGCAAGUCGAGCGCGCCCUUCGGGGUGAGCGGCGGACGGGUUAGUAACGCGUGGGAACAUACCUUUCGGUAAGGAAUAGCCACUGGAAACGGUGAGUAAUACCUUAUACGCCCUUCGGGGGAAAGAUUUAUCGCCGAGAGAUUGGCCCGCGUUAGAUUAGAUAGUUGGUGGGGUAAUGGCCUACCAAGUCUACGAUCUAUAGCUGGUUUUAGAGGAUGAUCAGCAACACUGGGACUGAGACACGGCCCAGACUCCUACGGGAGGCAGCAGUGGGGAAUCUUGGACAAUGGGCGCAAGCCUGAUCCAGCCAUGCCGCGUGAGUGAUGAAGGCCUUAGGGUCGUAAAGCUCUUUCGCCAGGGAUGAUAAUGACAGUACCUGGUAAAGAAACCCCGGCUAACUCCGUGCCAGCAGCCGCGGUAAUACGGAGGGGGUUAGCGUUGUUCGGAAUUACUGGGCGUAAAGCGCGCGUAGGCGGAUUA